UGGAGACCUCACAGAGGGGUGUUUGUUCGCAGUGGGCGAUGGGAGAGAUGCUAAUCGCCACAGGUCGCUGCUGCUCCGGGCUGAAGGUCAGGAGCAUAACAAGUAGAAGACUGAAGUUCAGUGUCAUCCUUGACUACAUAUAGAGUUUGAGGCUACCUGGACUACAUGAAACCUUGGCUCAAAAACAAACGAAAAGGACCCCUCAAGUCAGCACUCACCACCACCAAAAAAGCUCAUCAAAAACUCCUCUCACUGACAACUCUUACAGGUGCCAAGUGGCCAGGAGCAUUGGAUCCGCCAAGAGCUGGAGUGGCAGGCAGUUGGGAGAUGUGGUUGCUGGUUGCUUUCGGAACUCAAGUCUGAAAGAGCGGUACAUGCUCUUACCACUGAGCCAUCCCUCCAGCUCCCCCAGGAGCCAUGCUUCACACCUGGUCCCAGCUGGUCACAGCAGCAUCUGCAGCAUCUGCUCUCCCCCUUUCCUUCAGUUCCAGGCAUCACAGCCAGAUUGAUUUUAUUAAGAAAUGAGUCAGAUCAUGCCAUUUGCCUGGUCCCCCGUCCUUCAGAGGAAAAGCCGAAGUCUUCUGUGAUGGCCUUUUCCCACCUCUACCAUCUCCAAUACCACUCAUCUCCGAUACCACUCAUUUGGGUCAGCUACUACUGGCUUUGUUCUGUGAUGACAGAACCCAUGUACCGGCCCCAGGGCCCUUGCACUGUCUGUUCUCUCUUGGAGCCUCCUCCCCCCAAGUGCCACCUUCUUCAGUUCUUCAUGAGGGUUCUUCUCCAGACAGCCUUCCUUCCUUCUGGACCUCCAUGCUGAUCGCUCGCAGUGCCCACAUCUUGCUUUCUAACCCAUGCUGUGCUGAGAGGACCCAUGGCUUCUUGGAGAAAAGGCUGCUUCUUAGACCAGGAUGGGAAAUAGGCAAGAUGUGAGCAGAGUACCUCAAAGCCUCGGAAAGGAAGGAGGAAUCAGAGACAGGAGCCACCCGAAUGUGGGUGUGUCCAGCGGUGCUGGAGCGGCUGCACGGCACAGCAGGUAGGGCUGGCUUGUAGAACCCAGAGGCGAAACACAUUCGCCAGCUUGUGACAGUAAGUGAAUAACCAAUCAGUGGGAGAGAAGAGCCCAGGGGUCACGUGGCACGGAAUGUCAGGGGCUCCUCACACAGACCUUACCAGCCAGGGUCGAGGUCAACAGCAACAAGUUAGCACUGUGCACCAAGGUGUGAAGAAAAUGGUGCUGCCCCUUUGUCUCCUGGCUCCCCAGGGCUCACAACCCUGGUUUAGUCGUGUGAAGAAACAGCAGACAAAUUUUUUUUUAAUUGUAUUUUUUGAUAUUUUGAGACAGGGUUUUGUGUAGCCCUGGCUGACUUUGAACUCACUGUGUAACUGAGGAUAGCCUUGAACUUCUGACUCUCCUGCCUCCAUCUCUAAAAUACUGGAAUUAUGGGGUGUUCUGCCACGCCCAGCUUCCAGCAGGCACAUUUUGGUUUAAGGGCAUCUACAAAAUACCUGACUGGGAUCCCUCAAAACCACUAGAAUCAUCAAAGUGAGAACUGCUUUGGCCAAGAGAAGCCUCUAGAGGGGAGACAAUGGAAUGGAAUGUGGUGUGUGGAGGGUCCUGGGUCGGAAAGGGGUUAGCAGAACAAAGGUCUGGUGAAAGGACUCUAGAAGUUUCCGUGGCUAAUAAUUACUGCUGGAUGUGGUGACACUAUACCCUAACUCAGAAGCUGAGGCAGGAGGAUGGUGAGUUUGAGACCAGCUUAAGCUACAUAGACUCUGAUAUAUAUAAAUAUAUCAGUCAGGUGGUGGCAGCAUACACCUUUAAUCCCAGCACUAGGGA